CAGGUGACAUGGAGAGAAGCGAGAAUUUCAUCCUGCAACCCAGUUUUGGAGGGAAAAACCUAAAAGCUGCUAUUCAACGAGGUCGAGUAGCUGAGUGAGAGAGAGAAAAUUCAAGAAAAUCUUUGCUGAUUCUAUCGGAAAUCUUUUAGAAGCCCCAUACGCCAUUGAAGAGAGGGAAAUCCGUGAGAGAGGGAGAGAUUGAUCAUGUUUGCUGCUGAGAAUGGACUUAGAGGAGACCCAAGGCUUCAAGCCAUCUCCGAAGCCAUUCGAGUUGUUCCUCACUUUCCAAAGCCAGGAAUAAUGUUUCAAGAUAUAACGACGUUGUUGCUGGAUCCCAAGGCGUUCAAGGAUACGGUGGAUAUUUUCGUUGAUCGCUACAGAGACAUGGGCAUCUCCGUUGUUGCUGGUGUCGAAGCGAGGGGAUUCAUGUUUGGUCCCUCCAUUGCCCUAGCUAUUGGUGCAAAGUUUGUUCCUCUACGUAAACCUCGAAAGUUGCCAGGUGAAGUGAUAUCUGAAGCUUAUGUCCUGGAGUAUGGAACGGAUUGUCUGGAAAUGCAUGUUGGGGCUGUUCAGCCUGGCGAACGUUCAUUGAUAAUCGAUGAUUUGGUAGCUACAGGCGGGACUUUAUCAGCGGCAAUAAGACUUUUAGUUUAUGGAAUGCAAAUAUGCUGUUUAUCUAGAACGUGUGGGGGCUGAAGUGGUUGAAUGUGCAUGCGUUGUUGGGUUGCCUGAGGCGAAGGGACAACGCAGGCUUAAUGGGACCCCACUCUAUAUACUUGUGGAGCCACGUGAAAUAGAAAAUUGUUAUUAAGAGCUGAAUUGUCGCAUUUCCAAUUUGGCGACACGAUGAGUUGUUUCGAUUUAUUCACAUGCAGAUCUGUGGGCUUGAUUCUGCUUGGGCUGACUUAUAGGAAAGAUGAUGCUUGAGCAAACACAUGAUGAGUUUCUACCGAGUUUUGGCGGAAUUCCAUCAUUUCUUGGAUCAAUUUGUAUAAUUUCUUUAUGAGAUGUGCCAUCUUCCGUAGGCUGUUUUGUGCGAUUUAUAGUUUUGGAACAAGCCUCUGGUUGAAGAAUUGUUGCCCCGUGAUGUUUGAUUUGUUCUUUUUAAGUCAUUUUUAGUGCCCCA